rnacentral:rRNA from 1 species
AUUGAACGCUGGCGGCAGGCCUAACACAUGCAAGUCGAGCGGUAACAUUUCUAGCUUGCUAGAAGAUGACGAGCGGCGGACGGGUGAGUAAUGCUUGGGAACAUGCCUUUAGGUGGGGGACAACCAUUGGAAACGAUGGCUAAUACCGCAUAAUGUCUACGGACCAAAGGGGGCUUCGGCUCUCGCCUUUAGAUUGGCCCAAGUGGGAUUAGCUAGUUGGUGAGGUAAUGGCUCACCAAGGCGACGAUCCCUAGCUGGUUUGAGAGGAUGAUCAGCCACACUGGAACUGAGACACGGUCCAGACUCCUACGGGAGGCAGCAGUGGGGAAUAUUGCACAAUGGGCGCAAGCCUGAUGCAGCCAUGCCGCGUGUGUGAAGAAGGCCUUCGGGUUGUAAAGCACUUUCAGUUGUGAGGAAAGGUUAGUAGUUAAUACCUGCUAGCUGUGACGUUAGCAACAGAAGAAGCACCGGCUAACUCCGUGCCAGCCGCCGCCGUAACAC